GAAAUGCGAUAAGUAGUGUGAAUUGCAGAAUUCAGUGAAUCAUCGAAUCUUUGAACGCACAUUGCGCCCUUUGGUAUUCCUUAGGGCAUGCCUGUUCGAGCGUCAUUUAAACCUUCAAGCUCAGCUUGGUGUUGGGUGACUGUCCGCUUCACGGCGGACUCGCCUCAAAAUUAUUGGCGGCCGGUACAUUGGCUUCGAGCGCAGCAGAAACGCGAACUCGGGCCCGUCGUAUUGGCUCCCAGAAGCUAUCUUCACAAUUUUGACCUCGGAUCAGGUAGGGAUACCCGCUGAACUUAA
rnacentral:misc_RNA from 1 species